rnacentral:rRNA from 1 species
GACGAACGCUGGCGGCGUGCCUAAUACAUGCAAGUAGAACGCUGAAGGAGGAGCUUGCUUCUCUGGAUGAGUUGCGAACGGGUGAGUAACGCGUAGGUAACCUGCCUGGUAGCGGGGGAUAACUAUUGGAAACGAUAGCUAAUACCGCAUAAUAGCAGUUAUUGCAUGAUAACUGUUUGAAAGGUGCAAUUGCACCACUACCAGAUGGACCUGCGUUGUAUUAGCUAGUUGGUGGGGUAACGGCUCACCAAGGCGACGAUACAUAGCCGACCUGAGAGGGUGAUCGGCCACACUGGGACUGAGACACGGCCCAGACUCCUACGGGAGGCAGCAGUAGGGAAUCUUCGGCAAUGGACGGAAGUCUGACCGAGCAACGCCGCGUGAGUGAAGAAGGUUUUCGGAUCGUAAAGCUCUGUCGUAAGAGAAGAACGAGUGUGAGAGUGGAAAGUUCACACUGUGACGGUAUCUUACCAGAAAGGGACGGCUAACUACGUG